UACGUAGGGGGCUAGCGUUGUCCGGAUUUAUUGGGCGUAAAGAGCGUGUAGGCGGCCAGGUAGGUCUGCUGUGAAAACUCGAGGCUCAACCUCGAGACGUCGGCGGAAACCAUCUGGCUAGAGUCCGGAAGAGGAGAGUGGAAUUCCUGGUGUAGCGGUGAAAUGCGUAGAUAUCCGGAGGAAUACCAAAGGCGAAGGCAGUGUCCUGGCUGGCAUCUGACGCUGAGGCGCGAAAGCUAGGGGAGCGAACAGG
rnacentral:rRNA from 1 species